rnacentral:lncRNA from 1 species
UUUUACAGAUGAGGAAACUGAGGCUCCUAUGGGAGGAAUCCCAUACUAGGGCACUGUAGGGAGACACAACACCCAAGAAAUAUUGUGUCUCCAAGCAAGGAUCUUGAGGGGCAGUGACAACAGAAGAAACUUACUUAGAUUUUUAGAUGUACCUCAGUUUCAUCCCUGUGAAUAUUCCUUCCACCUAUGCAGCUUACAAUCUAGUCACACCUUCUCUGAUGUAAUUUCUGGUCCAUUCUACAGCUUUUGAUGGAAUCAAAGAGGCUCAUUUUGAGUCUAGUCAAGUUCACCAACAGUCCAGAGAGGGAAGGAAUCAAUUUCACAUCCUGGGAGAAGAGUGAUCAGAGCAUUUACCAACAGAUUUGUAUGAGUCCUCCAUCAUCUGAUGAUAUUUUGAAGUCUGUGCCAUUACUUGAAGGCAACUGAAGAGCACCUCCUUGUGAAAUGUGUGUAUGCCCACUGGUACUACCCUGAUUAAGUUGCCUCCUGAUAAAUGACUGAUUAAG